AUACGAAGGGGGCAAGCGUUGUUCGGAAUAACUGGGCGUAAAGCGCACGUAGGCGGAAUGUUAAGUUAGAGGUGAAAUCCCAGGGCUCAACCCUGGAACGGCCUUUAAUACUGGCAAUCUAGAGACCGAGAGAGGUGAGUGGAAUUCCGAGUGUAGAGGUGAAAUUCGUAGAUAUUAGGAGGAACACCAGUGGCGAAGGCGGCUCACUGGCUCGGUACUGACGCUGAGGUGCGAAAGCGUGGGGAGCAAACAGGAUUAGAAACCCUUGUAGUCC
rnacentral:rRNA from 1 species